rnacentral:rRNA from 1 species
GAUGAACGCUAGCGACAGGCUUAACUCAUGCAAGUCGAGGGGCAUCACGGGAGUAGCAAUACAACUGGUGGCGACCGGCGCACGGGUGAGUAACGCGUAUGCAACCUACCUAUCAGAGGGGAAUAACCCGGCGAAAGUCGGACUAAUACCGCAUAAAACAGGGGCGCCGCAUGGUGAUAUUUGUUAAAGAAAUUCGCUGAUAGAUGGGCAUGCGUUCCAUUAGGUAGUUGGUGAUGUAACGGCUCACCAAGCCGACGAUGGAUAGGGGAACUGAGAGGUGGGUCCCCCACACUGGUACUGAGACACGGACCAGACUCCUACGGGAGGCAGCAGUGAGGAAUAUUGGUCAAUGGGCGGGAGCCUGAACCAGCCAAGUCGCGUGAGGGAAGAAGGAUCUAUGGUUCGUAAACUUCUUUUGCAGGGGAAUAAAGUGCAGGACGUGUCCUGUUUUGUAUGUACCCUGAGAAUAAGGAUCGGCUAACUCCGUGCCAGCCGCCGCCGUAAGAC